rnacentral:rRNA from 1 species
UACAGAGGUCUCAAGCGUUGUUCGGAUUCAUUGGGCGUAAAGGGUGCGUAGGUGGCGCCGUAAGUCGGGUGUGAAAUUUCGGAGCUUAACUCCGAAACUGCAUUCGAUACUGCGGUGCUUGAGGACUGGAGAGGAGACUGGAAUUCAUGGUGUAGCAGUGAAAUGCGUAGAGAUCAAGUGGAACACCAGUGGCGAAGGCGAGUCCCUGGAAAACUCCUGACACUGAGGCACGAAAGCUAGGGGAGCAAACAGG